GGGGGCAGAGAGGUGUGGGCAGGGGGGUCUCAGGGGAGGGCUCAGAGAGGUGUGGGCAAUGGGCAGGGUGAGUCUCAGGGGAGGGGGCAGAGAGGUGUGGGCAGUGUUGGUCUCAGGGGAGGGGGCAGAGAGGUGUGGGCAAUGGGCAGGGUGAGUCUCAAGGGAGGGCUCAGAGAGGUGUGGGCAAUGGGCAGGGUGAGUCUCAGGGGAGGGGGCAGAGAGGUGUGGGCAGCAGGCAGACCUUGGGGUAGAGGGUGGAGUGGCGCGAGGAGGCCUUGGGGGAGGAGAGGAGCGAGCGAAAGGUGGACCAGCAGGCCUCAGCCAAAGAGCAGGUGUGGGAAGUGGCCAAAUGGGAUU